rnacentral:tRNA from 1 species
CAAUGAAUUUAAGAUUUAUUUAUAAGAAUUUUUAUUUCUUUUUUAGAA